rnacentral:rRNA from 1 species
CUCGAGGAUAGCCUUUCGAAAGAAAGAUUAAUACCCGAUGUCAUAGUCCUACCGCAUGAUGGGAUUAUUAAAGAAUUUCGGUAUGGGAUGGGGAUGCGUUCCAUUAGUUAGUUGGCGGGGUAACGGCCCACCAAGACAACGAUGGAUAGGGGUUCUGAGAGGAAGGUCCCCCACAUUGGAACUGAGACACGGUCCAAACUCCUACGGGAGGCAGCAGUGAGGAAUAUUGGUCAAUGGACGAGAGUCUGAACCAGCCAAGUAGCGUGAAGGAUGACUGCCCUACGGGUUGUAAACUUCUUUUAUAUGGGAAUAAAAUGUUCCACGUGUGGGAUUUUGUAUGUACCAUAUGAAUAAGGAUCGGCUAACUCCGUGCCAGCAGCCGCGGUAAUACGGAGGAUCCGAACGUUAUCCGGAUUUAUUGGGUUUAAAGGGAGCGUAGGUGGAUUGUUAAGUCAGUUGUGAAAGUUUGCGGCUCAACCGUAAAAUUGCAGUUGAAACUGGCAGUCUUGAGUACAGUAGAGGUGGGCGGAAUUCGUGGUGUAGCGGUGAAAUGCUUAGAUAUCACGAAGAACUCCGAUUGCGAAGGCAGCUCACUGGACUGCAACUGACACUGAGGCUCGAAAGUGUGGGUAUCAAACAGGAUUAGAUACCCUGGUAGUCCACACAGUAAACGAUGAAUACUCGCUGUUUGCGAUAUACUGCAAGCGGCCAAG